AACGAACGCUGGCGGCAGGCUUAACACAUGCAAGUCGAACGCCCCGCAAGGGGAGUGGCGCACGGGUGAGUACCGCGUGGCUAUCUGCCUUUUGGUUCGGAAUAACCCCGGGAAACUGGGGCUAAUACCGGAUGGUUCCUACGGGAUAAAGAUUUAUCGCCAAAAGAUGAGUCCGCGUACGAUUAGCUAGUUGGUGAGGUAAUGGCUCACCAAGGCGACGAUCGUUAGCUGGUCUGAGAGGACGAUCAGCCACACUGGGACUGAGACACGGCCCAGACUCCUACGGGAAGCAGCAGUGGGGAAUAUUGGACAAUGGGGGCAACCCUGAUCCAGCCAUGCCGCGUGAGUGAUGAAGGCCUUCGGGUUGUAAAGCUCUUUUGGCGGGGACGAUGAUGACGGUACCCGCAGAAUAAGCCCCGGCUAACUUCGUG
rnacentral:rRNA from 1 species